rnacentral:rRNA from 3 species
UACACACCGCCCGUCGCACCUACCGAUUGAAUGGUCCGGUGAAGCCUCGGGAUUGUGGUUAGUUUCCUUUAUUGGAAGUUAGUCGCGAGAACUUGUCUAAACCUUAUCAUUUAGAGGAAGGUGAAGUCGUAACAAGGUUUCCG